rnacentral:rRNA from 1 species
CCUACGGGUGGCAGCAGUGGGGAAUAUUGCACAAUGGAGGAAACUCUGAUGCAGCGACGCCGCGUGCAGGAAGAAGGAAUUCGUUACGUAAAGCUCUAUCAGCAGGGAAGAAAUACUGACCUUACGGUCAGCAGACGGUACCUGAGUAAGAAGCCACGGCUAACUACGUGCCAGCAGCCGCGGUAGUUCGUAGGGGGCAAGCGUUAUCCGGAUUGACUGGGUGGAAAGGGAGCGUAGACGGGGCGUCAAGUCUGCAGUGAAAUGCCGCAGCUUAACUGCGGAACUGCUUUGGAAACUGGCGAAGUAGAGGGCGGAGAGGGUAAGCGGAAUUCGUGGUGUAGCGGUGAAAUGCGUAGAUAUUAGGAGGAACACCGGUGGCGAAGGCGGCUUACUGGACCGUAACUGACGUUGAGGCUCGAAAGCGUGGGGAGCAAACAGGAUUAGAUACCCGAGUAGUC